CUGGCGCACGGGUGAGUAACACGUAUGCAACCUGGCCGUCACAGGUGGAUAACCGGAAGAAAUUCCGACUAAUACAGCAUAACACUCCUGAGGGACAUCCUUCGGGAGUCAAAGGAGGCAACUCCGGUGACGGAUGGGCAUGCGGCGCAUUAGGUAGUUGGUAGGGUAACGGCCUACCAAGCCGACGAUGCGUAGGGGUUCUGAGAGGAAGGUCCCCCACAUUGGAACUGAGACACGGUCCAAACUCCUACGGGAGGCAGCAG
rnacentral:rRNA from 1 species